AUGGACUGCGGCGGUGAGGAGCAGGCGAGGCAGAACGGCCAUGCCGGCGACGGCGGCGACCCGGCGGAGUGGAAGAAGGUGGCCGAGCUCCGGGCCGUGGUGGAGGCGCAGGACCCCGCAGCCAAGGAGGAGGACGACUUCAUGCUGCGCCGGUUCCUGCGCGCCCGAGACCACAACAUCAGCAAGGCGUCGGCGAUGUUCCUCAAGUACCUGAGUUGGAAGCGCGGCGCCAAGCCUCGCUGCUCCAUCACCGAGGCCGAGGUGCGCGGCGAGCUCGUGCAGGACAAGCUCUACAUUCAGGGCUUCGACAAUACGGGCCGCCCCAUGAUCUACCUCUUCGGCAACCGCCACUUCGCCGCCAAGCGAGACCUUGAGGAGUUCAAGCGAUACGUCAUCUACAUCCUUGACAACACCUGCACCAAGUUGCCGGCAGGGCAGGAGAAGUUUGCGUCGGUGGUGGAUCUCAAGGGGUGGGGGUACGCGAAUUGCGACAUCCGGGCGAAGCUGGCGGCGUUGGAGAUCAUGCAGAACUACUACCCGGAGCGGCUGGGCCGGGUGUUCUUGAUCCACGUGCCUUACGUGUUCAUGGCGGCGUGGAAGAUGGUCUACCCCUUCAUCGACGACAACACCAAGAAGAAGUUUGUCUUUGUUGCAGACAAGGACCUUGACGGCACGCUUCGGGACGCCAUCGACUUGUCCCAGCUGCCCGAGCAAUACGGCGGCAAGCUCAGACUCGAGGGAUACAAGAGCUCGUCGACAACGCUAUAG
rnacentral:rRNA from 1 species